GGGCGCGUAGCUCAGCGGUAGAGCGCUACAUUGACACUGUAGAGGUCAGAGGUUCGAGACCUCUCGGGCCCA
rnacentral:tRNA from 1 species